rnacentral:rRNA from 1 species
CCUACGGGAGGCAGCAGUAGGGAAUCUUCCACAAUGGGCGCAAGCCUGAUGGAGCAACACCGCGUGAGUGAAGAAGGGUUUCGGCUCGUUAAGCUCUUUUGUUGGAGAAGAAAGUGCGUGAGAGUAACUGUUCACGCAGUGACGGUAUCCAACAAGAAAGGCACGGCUGACUACGUGCCAGCAGCCGCGGCAAUACGUAGGUGGCAAGCAUUAUCCGGAUUGAUUGGGCGUAAAGCGAGCGCAGGCGGUUGCUUAGGUCUGAUGUGAAAGGCUUCGGCUUAAACGAAGAAGUGCAGCGGAAACCGGGCGACUUGAGUGCAGGAGAGGUAAGUGGAAUUCGUUGUGUAGCGGUGGAAUGCGUAGAUA